rnacentral:misc_RNA from 1 species
UUGAAUCCUCAGGAUGUUGCUGGCUCUUCGGAGCAUGUGCACUCCGCCUUUUCAAUCCACCUGUGAACUUAUUGUAGGCUGGAUGUAACAGUCCAUGCCUAUGUCUUCAUAAACCCUUUAUAAAAGUCUAUGGAAUGUCUUGUUGUAGGCCUUAUGGUCAAAAAAUUAAUA